rnacentral:rRNA from 1 species
CUUCUUCUUGAGAGCGGCGGACGGGUGAGUAAUGCCUAGGAAUCUGCCUGGUAGUGGGGGACAACGUUUCGAAAGGAACGCUAAUACCGCAUACGUCCUACGGGAGAAAGUGGGGGAUCUUCGGACCUCACGCUAUCAGAUGAGCCUAGGUCGGAUUAGCUUGUAGGUGAGGUAAUGGCUCACCUAGGCAACGAUCCGUAACUGGUCUGAGAGGAUGAUCAGUCACACUGGAACUGAGACACGGUCCAGACUCCUACGGGAGGCAGCAGUGGGGAAUAUUGGACAAUGGGCGAAAGCCUGAUCCAGCCAUGCCGCGUGUGUGAAGAAGGUCUUCGGAUUGUAAAGCACUUUAAGUUGGGAGGAAGGGUUGUAGCUUAAUACGCUGCAACCUUGACGUUACCAACAGAAUAAGCACCGGCUAACUCUGUGCCAGCAGCCGCGGUAAUACAGAGGGUGCAAGCGUUAAUCGGAAUUACUGGGCGUAAAGCGCGCGUAGGCGGCUUGAUAAGAUGGGUGUGAAAUCCCCGGGCUUAACCUGGGAACUGCAUCCAUAACUGUCUGGCUAGAGUACAGUAGAGGGUGGUGGAAUUUCCUGUGUAGCGGUGAAAUGCGUAGAUAUAGGAAGGAACACCAGUGGCGAAGGCGACCACCUGGACUGAUACUGACGCUGAGGUGCGAAAGCGUGGGGAGCAAACAGGAUUAGAUACCCUGGUAGUCCACGCCGUAAACGAUGUCAACUAGCCGUUGGAAUCCUUGAGAUUUUAGUGGCGCAGCUAACGCACUAAGUUGACCGCCUGGGGAGUACGGUCGCAGGAUUAAAACUCAAAUGAAUUGACGGGGCCCGCACAGCGGUGGAGCAU